ACACAUUCACACAUUAAGGUAACAUGAAGUUAAAAGCAUUCAUAAAGGCAAGCCCUGCUUUCAAAAGAUUUUGAAUGCAGGGCUUUUACUUGUCAUUGAAUAGUUUUACUCUGUUAAAUCACCUUCACACAUGUUUUAAGAAAUAGGAAAAGUACUUGUAAAUCAUCUGUAUCUGAUAUCAAUCUUAAAAUGUCAUCUACUUAGUUGACCCCAAAAUCUGUGAAUAUGCAUAUUUUUUUAUUUCAACUGUCAGUCUUCAGGCUAUGAGUGUAGAAUCACAUACAUUACUCUCCACAGUGAAAAUAUAAACAUAUACAGUAGAAAGACAAGCCAAAAAAAUUACUUUGAGUGAAGGAAGACAUAAAAAUACACAAUCAAUCACUUACUGGUAUAAAUGUAAGGUCACCCAGGGCCAAACAGUCAUAAUAAGCUGUUUUGCACAUACACAUGCAUAUCAUGUUAAUAAUAAUAAUAGAUUUAUUUUGUUAGCGCUUUUACAGGUGCUCAAAGACGCUUUACAGAUAUAGUGAAAAGAAAAGAAAUUGUGAAAUGUUACUUUCUUCUUUUAAAUCUGUGUGUUCAGCUGUACCCAGCUUGGUCUCUAGAUGGCACUAAGUCAUAAGUGAACCUGAGGUGGAUGGGAGCAUAAUUAAAAAUGGUAGUAAUAGGCUUUUGAUUGAAUUAACUGCCCCACGUGCCAGUAAUUCAGAGUGCAGGGUCGACGUGGAUAAAGAUUUGUUUUUCUUUCUUUCAAAUAGACAACACCAGGUCCAGUGUCUCUUCAGAUGAACGCUGCUUGAGAUGGUGCUCAACAUCUGCUCAGCGAGCGAGAGAGCACUGUUCCACUACUCCUGCAGUUUGCCAGUCUACCAUCACACAUUGAAUUCUGGGGAACCACGGCGAUGCUAACUCCCACAUCGGCUUACAACAAUGCAUAAUCCUUGCUGCACUUAAUUACCUACAACGCAGUGAGGCAAAACAUCCAAGAGCCAGGACGUCCGUUGAAGUCGAAGUGGGCGGAUACCGCCGGCAGCAGUCAGUCAAAUCCAG